rnacentral:lncRNA from 1 species
UUUCCAGGAAGGUGUGGUUAAGUGUAAGUGGUGAAAGAAGGGAAACCAUUGCUUAAUGUCGCAAAGGAGACAGACUGUCCUAUGUUGUGCAGAAAGCUCCCACACCAGGUGAAAUGCACAUCUGAACAGAGACAGGCAUGGGAAGGAGGCCCAAAAGCGACAUGGCAAACCACCGGGCAGGGGACUCGCUCUUUGUUGCUUCCCAAACACUUAGACGCCAGCAGCAUGGGUUGGUGUGCUGGGCUGGUUAAGGCCGAUGGUGGAGCAGAGCCAACCUGCAAAAUCCACUUCCUCAGCAUCAGAUCUCUUGAUAAAAGCAUGAACCUGCAUGUAAGGAAACGAGAGGACGUGGUGUUAAAAAGAAACAAAAAAACAAAACCCACCAGGAAGGAAAAUCCAAGAGUUUCAGGUCUAGAGCUUGUGCUGCACUUGGAAAGAGCACCUGGCACCUGCCCCUGAGCAACAGUGGGGCCAGCUGCAGGCCCAAAGACCUGCUCCACCAGUCACAGCAGCUGUGAGGCCUUGGGCAAGUCACCUCUUGGAGCCUACUCGUGCAGUAUGGAGACAGUAACUCUGCCUUAAAUGCCUCACAGGCUUGUUAGAAGGGACAAAGAAAAUGAUGGACUUAGUGCAUAUUAUAUACUAUAUACACCGUCUAUGGCUGUCCAGAUAUUUACAGUAUUACUUAGCUAUUUCCACUGCCACCAAACGAGACAGCAGGCGGAGAGUGACUCUGGAAGGAGGCUGAAUGUAAGAUGAGGCAGUCAGUAUUAGGGAAAGGCCGCAUCCCCAUGAAGGGGGUGGGCUGGCCUUUUCUUUCCCAUGGCCCCCUCAGGCAUUUCCUCUGGCAUAUGCUUACUCAGGCUGCGGGGGUCACCCCAGCUUUCCCUUAAACUGAUGGGAGAGCAAAGGAGACUGGUGUUUGGUAUUCUGCAGCCCCAGGCUCAGCUGGACCACAGUGGGCAGGGAAUGAAUGGGCUCUGGAAGUACUGCACAGAUGACUGACAGAGAAGAACAAAUGAAUAAACAGGUACUGUAAGAAUCCGGAAUAAAUAGACUCACCAUGAGUUGCUUCAAA